rnacentral:rRNA from 1 species
UUGCAGUUAAAAAGCUCGUAGUUGAACCUUGGGCCUGGCUGGCCGGUCCGCCUCACCGCGUGUACUGGUCCGGCCGGGCCUUUCCUUCUGGGGAACCUCAUGCCCUUCACUGGGCGUGUUGGGGAACCAGGACUUUUACUUUGAAAAAAUUAGAGUGUUCAAAGCAGGCCUUUGCUCGAAUACAUUAGCAUGGAAUAAUAGAAUAGGACGUGUGGUUCUAUUUUGUUGGUUUCUAGGACCGCCGUAAUGAUUAAUAGGGAUAGUCGGGGGCAUCAGUAUUCAAUCGUCAGAGGUGAAAUUCUUGGAUUGAUUGAAGACUAACUACUGCGAAAGCAUUUGCCAAGGAUGUUUUCAUUAAUCAGUGAACGAAAGUUAGGGGAUCGAAGACGAUCAGAUACCGUCGUAGUCUUAACCAUAAACUAUG